CCUACGGGGGGCAGCAGUGGGGAAUAUUGCGCAAUGGGCGAAAGCCUGACGCAGCGACGCCGCGUGAGGGAUGAAGGUCUUCGGAGCGGAAACCUCUGUCAGCAGGGAAGAACGGUCACUGGGCUAAGCAGCAGUGAAUGGACGGUACCGGCAAAGGAAGCACCGGCUAACUCCGUGCCAGCAGCCGCGGUAAUACGGAGGGUGCGAGCGUUAAUCGGAAUUACUGGGCGGAAAGCGCGCGUAGGCGGUAUGUCAAGUCAAGGGUGAAAUCCCCGCGCUCAACGUGGGAACUGCCUGUGAAACUGGCAAACUGGAGUGUGUGAGAGGAUAGUGGAAUUCCAGGUGUAGCAG
rnacentral:rRNA from 1 species